UGGAAGCUUUGACGUUUUUGCUGCUGGAACCUCCAAAUCCUCCAGCCUUCUAACUCGGAUAUUUGAGCUUCUGCUUUAAUCCUUUGGGAUUCAUCGCUUGUCAAGACCUGCCAUGGCUUCCACUAACCCGUCGUCAAUUAUUAGUGACCACCUUUAUU